UCUAACCCACAAAGCAUAAUCUCACUGCAGUUAAUUGGAAAGAAAUGAGGGAAAUACCACUUACAUUUGAAUUAUGCAGAUAGAGGGGAUGAUUAUGAUCAAUCGUUUUAUUUGAACCUAGAACUAUUUAGCUGCCAGAACCAGCAGUUGAUGGAGCAGUUUGUCAUUCCCAUUCGUAUUGUUCACAUUGACAUUUCUGUUUGGAUCGAGUCGAAUACCAUUGGUUGCCAUUGAAUUAGACAGAAAUCUUUGACAAGAAUUGUUAAUUUAAAGAUCUUGAAUAAAUUUUUCAAAAUUUCCAGAUGAACCCUAAUCUUUAGCGGAAUUUAGAUUUUAGGGAUUUGAAAUCAAAUCGAAAACAGAAUGUAUAUUUGUUCUACAACUCUAAUAAUAUGAAGAUAAUCAGAACUCCAUUAAUGAGUUUUGUAAUCUAUCUAUAUAGAAUAGGAGAGGCAAAAAAAUAGUAGGAUAACAAGUAAUAUCACCACAAAAGACUGAAUUUAAAAUAACAAAAUAAAAAAAUAAAAAACUGUAAUAGUUAAAAAAAAACUGCAAGAAAUAAAUUAGUCAGCAAAAUAAAAAAUUUAAAGACUGCAAGGGCCAAAAAAAAAAAAAUGCAAGGAGGAAAAAUAAAAAAUUUCCAAACCUGCAAUAACUUCCCACGUCCCAAACCCAGUAAUUAACUUUCAGUUUCAAUCGUCAAAGCUUCUCUCUAUUUCUCUCUAUUGAAAUGGUGAAGCAGUAGUGAAUAGAAAAAGACAAAAACUGCUAGAUGAAGGUAUUUCUGAUUUGAUCGCUAUAUUGGUCAAAAUAGAAAUUUUAUCCAUGUUAAAAGAGCAUCUUAAAGUGGGCAUCUAUGAUGGCGUCUUAAGUUAAAAGUGGAAAGGACAACAAAGGCGACUGUGGAUGACAAAUUUCCGUUAGUUUCCAUGAUCUUCUGAGAAUUUGCAAGAGACUUUUCUGGAUUUAAAAGAAGGUGAACAUACAUUAGUCUCGAAGAGAAUGAAUCUUUUAAUGGUACGUGGCUGUGUUUUGGUAAGAUUCAUGGUACGUGGCUGUGUUUUGGUAUUCAAGUAUUAAUGGCAAGCCAAAUUACUUCUGUUGGUGUAAUGACAAAAUUUAUUCACUCAAAUCUAGGCUUGAAAGCCACUAAGGAUCUAAAUUCUCAAAUGUAAGCAAAGCAUAAUUCCUAGACAAAGCACACACUAUUCUCUAAUUACAUUUAACUCAAGUUCAGCCAAGGGUUAGCUUUCAAUAAAUUACUUAGGAAAGUUUGUGCACUGAUAGAUUCACCUCCACCUACAAAUUAGAGUGUUCCUCGCAAAGACUUAUAGAUUUGUUAUUUUAUUUCCGAAAACUCAGACAACAUGAUUGAAAGCAGUCAUUGGCAAGGCCCUCAACAAUGCCCCGUUGAAGCAACUUUUUUUUUUCAACCUUUCAGUAGAUAUACCAAGUGUAAUUCCAAAUAAUGAUGAAUGUCCUACUGCAUCAAAUCAUUGUAUUUAGAGCGAUAAGAAUGGAGGAAAAUAAUGAAUCCUUUACAUCACUUUCUCAAUUACCUAAAGAGUGAGCAAACUGACUGAAUAUUUGUGUUCGUAGUUUUGAAAAUAAAGUACCACCAUCUUGCUUCUACUUUCAAUCAUUAAAAUCUCUUAAUAAACAAAGAUAUAGAAGAAGAUAAAAUCGCGUUGCAGGCAGUGCCCUUGAUUGUGUUUUAUACCUCUAUAUUAGACCAUUUGCGAAGAAAAUUGUGUUAUGAAUCCUAUGCAUAAUAAAUUUAAUUGUUGUUUGUUACUUAUUGUGUCUUAGGACUCCUUGCUACUACUUUUUGUACUAACAUUUAAUGCGUGAAGUUGAAACAAGUUUGGUUAAGGAUGACAGCUAACAUAAAUCUGGUGCAUAUCAUUUUGAAUUUUCCGGAUGCGUGGAAGUUAGAACGAUAGACUAUCUUCAACUGCGAGGGUUGGCAUUGGCGGAGAGAGCAAACAACUAAAUACAAAACUGAUGGCAAAUACCAUUAUCCUUUUGUCUUCAAACCGGCCUUUUGAAUUCUGCUGAGCACUAGUUGAUUAGUUGUAGUGACGCCUGGAUUUUUUAUAGCAUGCUCAGUCCACGAUUGAAAAAAAAAAAAAAAUUGACUCUGUGGCAUUUUGGUAAACUGCGGCUGGAAAGCCAAGGCACCAGACCGGUCACUUUUUGAAUUGUAACUAAAUAUGAGAAGCUAUGAGACACCAGUUAUAUUGAA